rnacentral:rRNA from 1 species
GAUGAACGCUGGCUACAGGCUUAACACAUGCAAGUCGAGGGGAAACGACGGGGAAGCUUGCUUCCCCGGGCGUCGACCGGCGCACGGGUGAGUAACGCGUAUCCAACCUGCCUCUGACUGAGGGAUAACCCGUCGAAAGUCGGCCUAAUACCUCAUGGCAUCGUCUGCGGGCAUCCAACGACGAUUAAAGAUUUCAUCGGUCAGAGAUGGGGAUGCGUCUGAUUAGCUUGUUGGCGGGGUAACGGCCCACCAAGGCGACGAUCAGUAGGGGUUAUGAGGGGAAGGUCCCCCACAUUGGAACUGAGACACGGACCAAACACCUACGGGAGGCAGCAGUGGGGAAUAUUGGUCAAUGGGCGAGAGCCUGAACCAGCCAAGUAGCGUGCAGGAUGACGGCCCUAUGGGUUGUAAACUGCUUUUAUGCGGGGAUAAAGUGAGGGACGUGUCCUUCAUUGCAGGUACCGCAUGAAUAAGGACCGGCUAAUUCCGUG